rnacentral:rRNA from 1 species
AUGCAGUCGAGGGGUAUAGUUCUUCGGGACUAGAGACCGGCGCACGGGUGCGUAACGCGUAUGCAAUCUACCUUUUACAGAGGGAUAGCCCAGAGAAAUUUGGAUUAAUACCUCAUAGUAUAUAGCCCUGGCAUCAGGAUUAUAUUAAAGUCACAACGGUAAAAGAUGAGCAUGCGUCCCAUUAGCUAGUUGGUAAGGUAACGGCUUACCAAGGCUACGAUGGGUAGGGGUCCUGAGAGGGAGAUCCCCCACACUGGUACUGAGACACGGACCAGACUCCUACGGGAGGCAGCAGUGAGGAAUAUUGGACAAUGGGCGCAAGCCUGAUCCAGCCAUGCCGCGUGCAGGAUGACGGUCCUAUGGAUUGUAAACUGCUUUUAUACGAGAAGAAACACUCCUUCGUGAAGGAGCUUGACGGUAUCGUAAGAAUAAGGAUCGGCUAACUCCGUGCCAGCAGCCGCGGUAAUACGGAGGAUCCAAGCGUUAUCCGGAAUCAUUGGGUUUAAAGGGUCCGUAGGCGGUUUAAUAAGUCAGUGGUGAAAGCCCAUCGCUCAACGGUGGAACGGCCAUUGAUACUGUUAGACUUGAAUUAUUAGGAAGUAACUAGAAUAUGUAGUGUAGCGGUGAAAUGCUUAGAGAUUACAUGGAAUACCAAUUGCGAAGGCAGGUUACUACUAAUUGAUUGACGCUGAUGGACGAAAGCGUGGGUAGCGAACAGGAUUAGAUACCCUGGUAGUCCACGCCGUAAACGAUGGAUACUAGCUGUUGGAAGCAAUUUCAGUGGCUAAGCGAAAGUGAUAAGUAUCCCACCUGGGGAGUACGUUCGCAAGAAAUGAACUCAAAGGAAUUGACGGGGGCCCGCACAAGCGGUGGAGCAUGUGGUUU